AAUUGAACGCUGGCGGCGUGCUUAACACAUGCAAGUCGAACGAUGAUGCCAGCUUGCUGGUGGAUUAGUGGCGAACGGGUGAGUAACACGUGGGUGAUCUGCCCCGAACUUUGGGAUAAGCCUGGGAAACUGGGUCUAAUACCGGAUAGUACCUUCCCUUGCAUGGGGGUUGGUGGAAAGCUCCGGCGGUUUGGGAUGGGCCCGCGGCCUAUCAGCUUGUUGGUGGGGUAAUGGCCUACCAAGGCGACGACGGGUAGCCGGCCUGAGAGGGCGACCGGCCACACUGGGACUGAGACACGGCCCAGACUCCUACGGGAGGCAGCAGUGGGGAAUAUUGCACAAUGGGCGCAAGCCUGAUGCAGCGACGCCGCGUGAGGGAUGACGGCCUUCGGGUUGUAAACCUCUUUCACCAGGGACGAAGCGUGAGUGACGGUACCUGGAGAAGAAGCACCGGCCAACUACGUG
rnacentral:rRNA from 1 species